rnacentral:rRNA from 1 species
CCUACGGGUGGCAGCAGUGGGGAAUAUUGGACAAUGGGGGAAACCCUGAUCCAGCGACGCCGCGUGAGUGAAGAAGUAUUUCGUUAUGUAAAGCUCUAUCAGCAGGAAAGAAAAUGACGGUACCUGACUAAGAAGCCCCGGCUAACUACGUGCCAGCAGCCGCGGUAAUACGUAGGGGGCAAGCGUUAUCCGGAUUUACUGGGUGUAAAGGGAGCGUAGACGGCAGCGCAAGUCUGGAGUGAAAGGCCGGGGCUCAACCCCCGAACUGCUCUGGAAACUGUGAGGCUGGAGUGCAGGAGAGGUAAGCGGAAUUCCUGGUGUAGCGGUGAAAUGCGUAGAUAUCAGGAGGAACACCAGCGGCGAAGGCGGCUUACUGGACUGUAACUGACGUUGAGGCUCGAAGGCGUGGGGAGCAAACAGGAUUAGAUACCCGUGUAGUC